rnacentral:lncRNA from 1 species
UGUUGCUAAGGCAGAGAAGCGCAAGGUUGAGUAUGAGAAGGAUAUGAAAAACUACAAUAGGAGACAGGUGAUUUAUUGAUUAUUUGUGAUGAUAUCUGUUGUCUAAUCUUGUUUGUUAUUUAAUUGGAUUGAUGAUGAUGAUUUUUAGGCGGAGGGAACUAAGCCGGAGGAAGAAGAGGAGUCUGAGAAGUCUAUGUCAGAGGUGAAUGAUGAGGAUGAUGAUGAAGAAGGCAGUGGCGAGGUUUUUUUUUUGGGGAUGUUUUGAUUUUUAGUUUGACUUGUUAUCAUUGUUAUGUGGUUUUUCUUGAAUUUGUUUGUUGAUUUAUUGUUUUUGGUUUUGUGCAGGAGGAUGAUGAUGAAUAGAAGUUGAAGGAAGAAAUUAGCAUAGUCAUGUUAGGCUGUGACAAUGUUUCAAACAACAUAUGUUAAUGCUUUGUGCUUCCAUGUUAAUUUUUUUGGAUGCUUUCAUCAUCUUCAUCAUCAUGUAAGAGAAUCAUGUUGCUUCUCCCUCGACAUUUUCUUAUGCCUGCCUUUCGAAGAAUUAAUAGCUGUAGGUGGGAGAUUCACUGCUCUAUAUGUACUGUGUUCUAAAGCUUAAUGAUUUAGCUAAGGCGUUCCAUCGUUUGUAGAAAAAUCCCAUGUUUUUUGAUGAUGAAUGGUGGUGAUGGUUUUUUCUUAUCUUUUGUAAUGCUAAGGAAAUUAGUUACAUUUGCUAUAGUUAAUCUUUAACGCAUUUGCAUGGUUAGGUCAUGAUUGGAUUGCAUGAUGUCAUAUGGCUUAUGAUUGAGCAGCUUGGAUGCUGAAGUAUGUUUUUAAUGAAUGGAAUGUCUUAAAAUAAUUUAUUUUGAUAAUAAGCACAUUGAAGUGCUAAAUUGUUUGUCAAUCUGUGGCUGCAAAUUGGUAGAGUAGAAUUCAUCCUUUGUGGCAUUGCCAGUGCUAAAUUUCAAGCAUUCAAGUGCAAUAUAAAUUAUCUUUUCUGGUUACAAUGUGUUUGGUGCCUUUUGCCUAAUCACAUAGUUAUUGUUUGGCUCAGAAAAAUGUUAUGCGUCAGCUCCUUUAUGCAGUUUUGAGGAAAACCUUUUUGACUUUUUACUUGAAGAUGGUGCUGCCGGACAAAAGUAUUUGCUGUUUUGCUCGCUGUGAUUAAUAGAUUAAACGGCCAAGCAAUUUCUAGUCAUUCGUGGGUUGGGUUAAUUUUUACAAAUUGGAAUAUGUUGGAUGGUUCAGCUAUAUAUGAUUGAUUUUUGGAAAUAAUCAGUUUAUUGGCAAUAAAUUAUGAAUAGUGUAGUGGAUCGAAAUAAAAGAUGGAGAAGACAUUUUGGAAUAAGAAUUGGGCUUAUUAUUAGAUGGAGACUGUUCAAUGAAUGUGUAAGAAAAUAUUUGAAGAAAAUAGUAAAAAAAGGUAUUUGGGUAAAUAUUAUAUGAGGUAACAUAUUACUAUGAUAGGCUAAUCAAGGUAUAUUUGAUUGUUAACGAUGAAGCAAGUACAAAUAGAUCUGUAUGUGUCGAUAAUAAAUGGUUGUAAUUUGAAUUUAUUGAGUGAUUGAAUAGGCGUGGUUGGUAGGAAAGAUAUUUCAUAAAAAGAAAAUAAAAAUACCCACGCGAGCUACGGACACACAAAGACAAUGGGAAACCUAGAAAAUUAAUUCGAGAGGGGUGCAAUUGAAAAAGAAAAUAUUACGAGGGCAGUAUCCAACAAUAACCUAACAAAAAGAAUACCAAUUAUAAAUAUUUUUUCUCAAAAUUGUCGGCAAAAUCCACAAAAGAAUAAUUUUUAUAUACAUGAACCUGUCAAAAAAUUGUCACUCUAAACAGGAUCAUCAACGUACAUAAAAAAGAUAAAAUUGAUUUAAUUCAUCGACCUCAAAAUAAUUACUAGCCUUUUUGAAAAUUGAUCAUUAUUCAUCAACCAAACGUUAUUAAAAUUAAAUUAUUGUUACUCCAUAAUCAUAACCCCAGCAAGAGAAAUCAAAAUCAGUCAAUAACCCCAAUAUUUUCAUUUUUUCAAAUCAGCAGCGGCUUUCGAGGAAGAGGAAGAAAGGCCAGUUGCCUAGUGACUUUUCUAGCCCGUAAAUCCACCAUGUAUUUUUUCAUUUUUUUAAUAAUCUAACAGCCGUUCGAUUUCUGACUCUAUACCCAACGGUAAACUAUUAUUUGUCCGUUAGUUACGAGUCCCCCUUUUAAAUGUAUUGACAGAACAGAUACGUGAUAUUUUUUUCGGUAUUGGAAGCAGAUUUUUCACUUUAGUGCCGGCAGAAUCUAAAUUCUUUUAAGAGCUAGAUAUUUAGAAUAAAAUAUUAAUAUAUUGUAAAUAUCUUCACUCAUUAUCGAGUCGGAUACGAUGGAUGUUGGGCACAUGGGCAACGGACGGCCAUCUCACAAAUUUAACGAAUUGUCGCGGCGCAGCGUGGUUUAAAGUUAUUCCUCUGUUUGUUAAACCUGUACAACACCAUUCUCCAUUCAAACGAGUGUUGAAUUUGACAAAGAAAAAUAAUCAUAAGAGUAACGUUGGGGUAAAUUUGAGGAACGUAGACAGAUUCUGACAUAAGCAAGCCUCCGUGAUGGGCAAUCAUAAUACAAAAAUAGUUAAAUUUCAACACAGAUACUGAAUAAAUAGGUCUCAAUUUUUGAACCUUCUCUUAAGAAAAACAUAUUUACUUUAAUUAUCUAAUAGACACAAUGUAUUUAAAUUAUUCUGCCAUUCAUAUAUAUACAUAUAAUGAUAUAUUUCACACAGAGAUCUUUCGUCACACAUCUGAUUCUCGGUGUUAUGUUUGUUUUGCCUUUGAACAUCUACUUAAUUCUGCAAGAAUUUAACCUUAUACAAUUCUUUUUAAAGUGGCCUCAAUUCUCUCUCACAUAGGUUAUUUCUUAAUUAAGAGCAACCCUUAUUAUGUGCUCAAAUUCUCAAUGCAUAAGAAUCAUUAAGAUCAUAACUCGUUCUUUCUCCUACAAGCAUCAUUAUAUCAUCAUAGAAAUAGAUACGAGGAACCCUUAUAGUGACCUGGCUUAGUCUUUAAUAACUGAGUUUUCCCUUUGAACUAUAACUCUAUGGGCUUUAGUCUUAUUUUCUUCUAUGAUUUUCUACUAUCUCUCUGUUUAAUUCUUUGGUUAGUGAAUUUACAAUGUUAUCCUUUGACUUCAUGUACUCAAUAAAAAUAACUACAAUAGAGAGUAAUUCCCUAAUGUUAAUUAUGUUUUUGACGUAUAUAUCUAGACUUACUAUUAUACAUAUUGCUUUGUGCGCUUCCAAUUACAGAUUGAUUAUCACAGUGAGUGCAAAUUGAUGGCACAAGUUUUGGCCAACUUGGAAUAUCCUCUAAGAAAUUUCGCAGCUAUUAUACUUUUUCACCAUAUUUAUCCAAUGCAAUGAAUUCAGAUUUUGUUAUAGAUCUAACUAUCACAGUUUUUUCUAGAGAAUUUCCAUGAAAUAAUUGUACCUGCUAGUGUAAACAUAUAGUCGUUGGUAGACUUUUAAGUCUUUCACAUAAGACAUCCACUUUGCUAUUCAUAUUAAUGUAUCAUUCUAGUACAAUUGAAUAUCUAGUAUAGUGCAUCCCGUAAUUUUGAGUAUGUUAUAAGCAUAUGAGUACCCUUACUAUUGCUUUCUUGUGGUUAGCCCCUGGUUACUGGUAUAUCUACUGAACUUCCUCAUUGUAAAAAUUGAGUUUGAUUUUAUAUAGCUUAUUAAGUACAUCAAAAUCUAUAUCACUCUAGAAUAUUCUAUUAAAGGAAUUUUAGUCACAACAAAAGUAUCUUUGUUGAAUUUACUAAGUUUUUUUUUCACAUAAUAUAAUUGACUAAGAAUAAGUCCAUUAGAAGUCCUUAAAUUUUUUAUUCUCAAGAUGACAUAUGCUAGAUCUCAUGUAUUUCAUGUCAAAUUUAUACUUCAACAUAUUCUUAGUAGACUUAACAAUUUUAUCAUUAUUCCCAACAUUGAGCAUGUCAUCAAUGUAAAGCCAUAAAAUAGCUUAGCUAUUUUCUAUCUCUUUGAUAUAUAUACUCAUAUUUCACGUUUGUUGAUCUUAAAACCAUUUGCCAUCAUCAUUUGGUCAAAAUUUUCUUAAAACCAUUUUGCAUAAUCCUUGGGUCAAAAUUCCCAUGCUUUCAAGCCAUAAUGACUUUACUAAUUUACAGACCUUAUUAUUAUUAUUAUUAUUAUUUUGGGAUUUUGGAGACUGUUCCAUAUAGAUUUCUUCAUCUAAGUCCCCAUUUAAAAGAUUUUUUUUACAUCCAUUUAAGUACUUCAAGAUUACAUAAAGUUGCAAUUGCAAGUAUCAUCCUAAUAUAAUUUAUUCUUGUUACAGAAGAAUAUAUAUCAAAAUCAUCAAAGCCUUUUUGUUGUUUAUAACCUUUAAUUACAACUCUAGCCUUAUAUUUGUUAAUUAAUCCAUCAACUUUCAUUUUUUCCUUGAUAUCACAUAGGUUUGCACCCUAGAUAAAGUUCCACAAACAUUUAAGUAUGAUUUUGUAAGAUAGAUUUAAUUUAACUGUUAAUGGCGUCUUUUCACAAAGUGUCUUCUCGUGAAAUUAUAAAUCUUCCUUGAAGCUUUGAGGUUCACUUUCCAGUAGCUCUUUUGUUACAUUUAAGUUCAAUCUCAACCUAUUAUUCAUAUUCUUAAAUUUCUUCUUGAUCUAGGUUCUGACUAUCUUCAACAAUAGGCUCAUGUGUUCAUUUAAUUGAACUCGAAUCAUCUUUGAAUUUACAAGUAAAUACAUGUUCAAAAAAUUAUGCAUUUCCUAAACAAUAGUUUUUGGUCCUAUCUUCAUAUUUGUAGGUGGAGAAAUGACCACUUUAGCAAGACACCUCAACACUCAUAAGAAUUUAUAGCAAGUUACUUUACCUUUCAAUAAUACGUAAGGAAUUAUCUCUUUUUCCUUUCAGGACACCUUAUUUAAAAGUAAUUAGCUAAUAAAAUCAACUUCUCUUUACAUAUCCUAAGGUACCCCAUAACCUAUCAAUAUUGCAUUCAUCAUUUUUUUCAAGGUAUGAUUUUUUUGUUAAGCAAUCCUAUUAGAUUGAUAUGAAUAAGGAGUUGUGAUUUGAUUUAUAACUCUAUAUUGUUAAUAGAGUGAUCCAAAUGGAACAACAUAUUCACCACCAUGAUUUCUUCUCAACACCUUCAUUUUUUUGUUUGGUUGAUUCUCAACUUCAUUUUAUAGAAAAUAAAUUUCUAAAUAAAUUCAUCCUUACUUUUCAACAAAUACACAUAACAAAAUUUUAUAUAGUCAUUAGUAUACAUUAAAAAAAAAUAUUUAUGCAUUUCUUAAUUAGAAUAUUAUAUUUAUGUGAAUAUCUGGUAUAUUCCACUUAUACACUAGAAAUCAAGAUGGAGGAAUGAUCACUUUAGCAAGAUACCCUCACACUUGUAAAUAUUUAUUAGAUGGCGUUGUACCUUUCUGUAAUUCAUAAGAGGUUUUCUCUAUUUCCUUUCGGAAUACUUUAUUUAAAAUGUAAUUAAAUAACUUCUCCUCACACAUCUAAGAUAACCCAAAACUUAUCAACAUUACAUUAAUCAUUUCUUUUAAGGUAUGAUAUUUUCUUUUAGCAAUCCCGUUAGAUUGAGCUAAAUAAGGAGAUGAGGUUUGAUGUAUGAUUUCUUGUUGUUAGCAAAGUGAUCCAAAUAGAACAACAUACUUACCACCAUGAUUAUUUCUCAACUCCAUCAUUUUAUUAUUUAGUUGAUUCUCAACUUCAUUUUUGUAUAGAAAAAAUUUUCUUUAUAGCUUUUUGUCUUUGUCUUUGUCUUUUAACAAAUACAUAUAACAAAAUUCACCCCUCGACUGAAUGGAUUUAAAGCACAUAUAUCGUUAUGUAUUAGAUCAAGUGGUUCAGUGCUCCUUUUAAUUAUUUGAGGGCAUACGAUUCCCUUAUGUUUUGUAUAAAUUUGUUAGUUUUGCCUCAACACAAGAUUCCCACAUAUGUUUUGUAUAAAUUUGGAAUAAGGAUAUAUGAUUUAUGUUAAUUAAUUUGUGAAAAUAAUUAUAAUUAACAUGUCCUAAUCUACCAUGCAAUAAAUCAAAUGACUCAAGAAAAUAAGGCUAAUAAUAUAGAUCAUGAAGAAAUUGCUUCGUUAUUCUUAAGUUCUACCUUAGCCACAAAAAUGAUAAUUUUCUUGUCAUUAUUUUUGUUGACUUAUUCAAUUUAAAGUCUUAUAAUUAGGUCUUCAAUGCUCAUUUCCUUUCUUUUAUACUUUGGAUAACUCUUCAAAUCUCAAUUUUGUUUCAAUUCAACAAAAAUUGAAUUGAAUGUCCACCCCUGCCCUAAGUGUCAGACAUUUUACUGAUCUUACUAGUUACCACUUUAACCAUUGAUGGUUGUUUGAUAUUGAUAAUAUAAAUACCUUCAAUUAUUUAAUUGAUAUUGUUGUUACACUAUACAGAUUUAAUUUCAAUUCAAUUCAAUCCUAGUGUAAUAAAAAGAAAAUGGCAAAAUCACCUUUAGUCUUUUCAUUUUUACUAAACAAAUUGGUGCGUUUUGAGAUUCAAUUUCUUAUUAACUCAAACACGAGUUUGAGUAUUUUAUGAUUAAAAGAGCUCACAGAGAAUAUUCUGAAUUAUCCAUGCAAGCAUAUUUCCUCAACAUAUAUCUUACUAAAAAUUGGCAUUAUAAUAAUUAUUUGUAUGUUAUUUUUUCAGCAUAUAUAUUGUUAAGCUUUCUUAUAUACUUAAGAGAUUUAGCAUGGGUUGUAAACAAAACAUUUGCAUUAGGUAUACACCCAACUUUCUUAGGGUGCAUUUGAAAGUAAGAUGCUAUAUCUUUUAAGUUGAAGUGGAUAAAACCCAUAACUGUGAAGUAAAACUGAGAAAAAAAAAACUGCUAAGCUGCCAAAACACAGUUGUAAGGUGUUACCAAACAACUUUUAUUUUUGAAUUACACAUCAUUCCCAAAUGCACCCUUAAAUUACUCAAUUGUUGUUUUCCUAUUUGUUUGUUAAAAUUAACACGUGUCCAUGUGUUUGCUUCAUCACUAAACACUGCCUCUUUAUUAUUCCCGUUGGAUAUGCCGAGGGCUGAUAGUUUCAUUCAUCUCCAAAGACUCAAACCUUUAGCAUAAAUUACUUAAACAAAAUAACAGUUGUAAAAUUUCGUUCCUUUUGUGUGUGUGUGUGUGUGUGUGUGUGUGUGUGUGUGUGUGUUACAAUUAUGAAAAUAAUAUAACUCUUAACAUCUUAUCAGGCUAGAGUAUGCUCUCACAUUUUGUUUAAUAUUGACUUAAUAUAUAUCAUACUCCAAAGUCCAAACAUAAGAUACAGCCCGUGCACGUUGAAAUUCCAUACCCACUACCCAGCAAAGAAAUAACAUGGGUUUUGUACUAUAUUUAAUUAAUUCCCACUAACCAACCCCUACGUAUAAUUAUUAGCCAAUUUUUUGAAUCAAAAUCUUGGUUUAUAAUAUGAUUUUUCAUCUCAUAAACAGAAUGUGCGUAAUUUCGUUUUUUUUUUCCUUUUUUUUAAUUUUUAAAUAAUAAAGUCAUAAUAGUAUAGAAAAAUUUCUAUUUGAAGUGAAUUAGAUAAUAAUAAGAUGUAAAAACUAAAAUUUUGAAUAUAUAAAAUAUUUGCUAAUACAUUUAUAAAUGUAUUUUAUGCAUUUUCAUAUUUUGAAAACAUUGUGCAUUAGACUCAUUAUCAAUGCUAUUAAAUACAUUAGUUUCUAUAUAAAUAACCAAAACAAUCAUGCAUCCAUUUAUCUCCCAUUCAAUUCUAGAGCUGCGAAUUUCAUUUACUAAAGAUAUUUUUUCUAUGAAUAAAUAAUUACCCAUUAUGUGAGUUACUAUUUAGGAUAAUUUAUUUGUGAACGAGCGUAACUUAAUUAUUUUAAACACUCGUGUAACACACUCAUUAUUCAAAAUAUAAUUCUCUUACCAUUAACCCUAAAACUUUUGUUUCUAACAUGUUAAAAAAUACUUCGUUGAAUGUGCAGCAAAUUAAUUAAAGAAAAACUAUUAAGUAAAGUUAUUUUUUAAAAAAUUAUUUCAAAGUAUAAUUAAUUCCAUUGUUGUAAGUUAUGCUAAAUUUCUUGAAAAUUUUUCUCGUGUGUGCUAAAUAUAUUUAUUGGUGUUUUAAUAAAUAAAUUAAUUUAAGUGUUUUAAGUAAAGAUUUUAUUAGUAUUUUAAAGAAUAUACAUCUGUAAAAUUUAAUUCUUUAAGUUUAGUAGAUGACUAUGCAAAGUAGUAAAGUGUUCAAUGCAAAUAAUUUCGCUCUUUCUUUAUUGUGGUUGUGAAAAUUGGAAGAAUUGAUGCAGAUGUCACCAACAAAUAUACUAAAAUUAAUGUUUAAUUUGUGAUUAAAAGGAUGAGAUAUUAUUAUUUUUAAAUAAUAUAAAUUUAUUUUGAAGAAUGAAAAAGUAUUUUCGGUUGUGGGGAGGUGGGCUAUUAUUAUUUUUAAUUAAAGUAUCGACUUUUGCAAUAAUAAAAGUUGAAAUUUAAAUUUAUGAAUUUUAUAAGAAUUCUUUUAAUACCUUAAUGGGGAUCAGUUAGAAAUUUUAAAUAUAUGUUUUCCGAGCCUCCACUGCUCACGUGCUGGAUCCUCCGCCGGUGGUAAAUGGUAUGAGGUAGGUACUGUAACACAAAACAGAAUGGCAUGGAUGGGUUUUCAUGUUGUCAUGCAAUGGAAUAACAUGGCGGACACCGAACAGUCACAUCACAUCCCUCUGACUUGGCAGCCAAUAAAUAAAGCAAAGCAAGACAAUUAGACAAAGGGCAAAUAUUUUACGCCCCUUUUGCUCUCCGGUUGCAUUAAUUUACAGGACAAUAGGUUCUUUUUCUUUUCUUUUUCGAAUUUAAAGAUUACACUAGUUUCUCUGAUCAACGGGAUCAUUUAACCAAUGACUUGGCAGGGCCUACCCGCCUACGCCUGUGAGUGAUUGUAGUUCAAAAGAAUAAGAAGAGUAGAAAUGACUUACCCGCGAGACCCGCAAGUUAUAGCGUUAAUUUGGCACAGUCAACUUUCUAAUUGCAUUAAACUGAGCAAUUAACUCCGCCGCCUGUCAAUUACACACUUUUUGUUUGUUUCCAAAAUAAAUAUAUAAUUCAGAGUGAGUGUGUGUGUGUGUGUUGGUGAUGGAAUGGUUUCUAUACCCUUGCACUCUAAAGUGACUUGUUUCUUCUUCCCCAAUCUAUAAAAUAAAUUUAUUUAUAUAAAAAUGAAAGAAAUGGUUUGAGUUUGGAAGUGGGUAGUGAAGGGUGGGAAAAAGAAAAAAGAGAAAAAGCCAAAAAGAAAAAAAAAAGAAAAUUCAAUCAAUGAAAAUGGAGUGGCCAAAUUUUCAACAAGGAGGAGAAAUGGAGAGGCAGUUUCAGCAAGAUGGAGGGGACACUAGUAAUGGGUUGUGCGUGAAAGUGAUGACUGAUGAACAAAUGGAGUUGCUCAGGAAACAGAUCGCUGUUUAUGCUAUGAUUUGUGAGCAGCUUGUUCAGAUGCACAAAGUCUUCUCUGCUCAAAAUGAAAUCGCUGGUCUCUUCUCUUUCUCUUUCCUCUUUUAGUGAUUGUGUUUUAUUUUAAUCUUAUUUUGAUUUUUUUUGGGGGGGGGGGGGGGGGGGGGGCUUUGGUGUUUUUCCAUUAGUCAUUGCAAGUUUCUGUUGCUUGAUUUUGCUCCGACUUGCUUUCUUAAUUUAGGUGAUACGAUAACCAAUCAGUUUAUACAUGGAAAAUCCCAAAUCCAUACUUGAAUCAUGCAAUAAUUGAAUCCCAAAUUAACACGAGCAUAGAAUCUCUGAUUGAUAUAAUGAAGAAAUGAUCAUCUUUAAGUGGAUGUAGAACACUUGCAAAUUCUUUCCUUUUUCGGCAAAGCCACUGCCUCCCCUUAUAUUCCGGAAAGGAAAUUAGAAACUUGCUAUGUCAUAUUCAUAGGCACUAGCCCAGUUUUCUGGGAAAAAAGAAAGCAUGAUUAUAGUAUAUUUUUUGGAGAAAUUGGAAAUUGAUUUGAGUCUUUUGAAACCCUAUCGAAUACGCUUGUCAACGAGUAUCCAAUUGCUUUUGCUUCAGCAGACUUUCCGUUCUGUUGCACCAUUCACUAGUUUAGCUACUUAUCCCAUCAAAGUCUUGCUAUUAUUCUCGUGAUUCAUUUAUCCAAUCAAAUUCUACUAGGACCUUGCCGUAGGCCCGCAAAAUUUUGAGGCCUUUUUUGUCUUGUAGGAAUGAGAAUGGGGAAUCCAUACUUUGAUCCCUUUGUGGCAUCUGGCAGCCAGAAGCUCACUGCCAGGCAACGGUGGACCCCGACACCUGCACAGCUCCAAAUCCUUGAGCAUGUUUACGAUGAAUGCAAGGGGACUCCUCGCAAACAGAAGAUCCAGGAUAUGACCGCUGAAUUGGCAAAACAUGGCCAAAUUUCUGAAACAAAUGUGUAUAACUGGUUUCAGAAUAGGAGAGCCCGUUUAAAGAGAAAGCAAUCAGGUGUGGUUCCAAACAAUGCAGAAUCAGAAGCAGAGACAGUGACACAUGCUGAAUCCAGGAAGCAAAACCCGGAAAGCAUCCAGUCAUUGGAGGAUUCAGCACCACCACCCAGGGACGAAGAUAUCUAUCCUCAAAGUCCUGAUUUAGGUAAUAAAUUUUUCUGCUUCAAUGUUCUGCUCAACAAAUAUAAACUUAUUUUCAGUCACAUGUAAGUUAAGAUUCAUAGGCAGUUUUUGUUGCAUGAGAGGUAUGCAAAAUUUCUGUUUUUGAUCCUUGUUACUUAUACUGAUGUCAAUUGGGCGCACCCUCAUACAAAUGAGCAAAAGAUUUCUGAAACAAUCUGGGGUUUUUGUGUAGGGAUUGACCAGAUGAUUGGUAAGAUGGAAAUUCCCGGAAGCUUCAGUUUUCACUGGCAGGUAGACCGAUAUGACAUGCUUGGAUGAUGCCCUUCCAGAAGGCAGUAGCUUAAUUGAGGAGGGUGAACAUGUCUUUUUGCUAAGAAAUAUAUGACCUACUAGCUGAAAAUCUACAAAGACAAUUGAACGUGGCCAAACUAUAUUGUUGUUGAAUCUAAAAUACACCUAUAUUCUAAUUCUGAUGAGCUUGGUUUGUUGGAGCUCAAAAAACUUUCUUAAGUAGUUAAAGUUGAUUGCAUGGAAGAAAUAUUAAUUUGUGACUGCAUCUACCCACGCAUUCGACACCAAGAUAUGUACAUAUAUGCAUAUAAAUACUUAUGUAUGUUAAAUGUUUCUUUUUAGCUUUUGUGCUCAAAUUUACUUAUUCUAGGGAGUGCAAUUCUAAUCUCACCAGGGUGCUAAACAAUAAAUAUGAUGUUUUUAUUAGCUAACAUCAUUUUUAUUUACUGGUUACAAGAAGUGCUUUACAACUUACAAAUCAUCCGAAAUGCAACCAGUAUGCCAAAAUUGUACAAUCAAGCUCCUGCUUGUAAUUGCAGAAGUGUGGGAGCUGAACAUUAAUUAGGCUGCACCAGCUGAGCUUGAUGACCAUAAAGGACCAAAAUGGUAAGGAAAUUCUUGACUUCUCUGCCUCUACUCGUACAUAUGUCCAUGGCAUAUACAAAAAGCCAGAAACAUACGAUCGUCUACAAUCUGAUAAUUUUGUGCAACAUACAAAUUCAUAAGGCCAUGUUAGAAUAUGCAAUCCGGCUCUCCAUUAGGAACCCCGGCCUUUCUUUGGUAGUCUCAGCUGCAGGAUUGUGAAAGCUGAAUUUCAGAUUUAUGGCGGGAUAAUGCCCUGUGAUCAAAAGCUGCAAGCAUUUUAUAAAUUAUUUUACCUUCGAUUUUGUGGACCUCCACCCUCCUGAAUCUUCCAGUAUUGGAGAAUAAGAAAAUUUUUCUAUGCAACUGAAAGCAGCGACUUUAUCCAUGGCUGAAUGAGUAAUUGGUGAUGAAUCCUGAAAUCAUACUAAAGUUGUUACCAGGAGGAGAGGGAAAAGCCAUAACUUCAAGCCAACUUGGCACUAUGACAAGUAGAAAAAUGAUGCACAAUGAGAAAAUAAAAUAAGGAAACAACAUAGCAAACUAACCUUGGCCUCUGACUUGAAUUUUCCAGAUUCAGGAAUUCUAAUUUCCAGACGAUCCAAGUAAAACAAUAUCUACACAUAAGGCGAAGUUAGAGAAGCAACCCAUUAUGUGACAAAUUGCAAAAACAAUAAGAUUUUGCAUGAAACCUACUUUGUUAAGUAACUGAAAGUUCAAUGCAUUGCUUGCCACUAUCUGAACGCCAAGACAGUUGCUGGGGCUACUGCAGAAGGGGCAAAAAAGGGUAUUAUAUACACAUCCAUCCUCUUCACACCAUAUGCCCUGUCCUGAGGCACCUCCAAAAGACUGGUUGGUGAGUAGCUGAUCAACUGAUGAAAUGUCAGUCAUGAUAACAGGUAUGCUUGUUACAUUUGCACACAGUUCCUGUCUUUGUUUCAGAAGAGAUACUAAGUGAGCUUUAGCAGAUGAAGUAACUGAGCACCUAACAUAUAGAUGAUUCUCAGGAAGACCUAAAGGGCUCCUACAGAGUGAACAUGAAAUUUGUAAAGUCUUGUCCAUAACUGGAGUAGAGGACAAAUGUGAUUCAGCACAAUUAUUUGACGUUUUGGAUUUGUUUUUCACAUAAUUGGUUUCCGAAUUAAAUUCAAUUCUCCGAUUUGCUUCUCUGCUUGCCAUUAACAUAAGGUCAACUGAAGGUGAAACCAUGGUUUUCCUCCUUUUUUGGGUAUGUGAAUUAACACUCGAACUCAAAGACGAAUCUCUUUCUGGUGGCAAAUUGCUGGUGUCUCCAGUGACUUCUUUUUCAGGAGUGACUACCAUCUCAGGCUGGGCGCUGGAAGGGACUCGGACCGGAUUUGUCAAAGACUGCGAAUGGACUGAUAAUUGAUCUGGAGAUUGUGUAGAUGCUUGAAAUAUGGUUGAACUAGAGUUCCCAUCCUUAGAUAAGGAUCCAGGACUAGCCAUGGUAUUAUUAUCAUCCAUAGCAGGGGUUUCCUUGACAAGGAGUAAUUCUGGAUCUUCAUUGGAGAAUGGCAUGGAUGAAGCCUCGCAGCACCUGCAGAAAAGAAAAAGUCUUAUAACCCACACAAAGUAAUCAUUGCAGUUUAAAUCAUGUGGCAAGAUAUUCAAAAGAAGCCACCUAUAAACUUUACCAAAAAACAAUUGCUUAAUCCAAGGACUUGAAACACAUUGAUACUAUAUAGAAAUAUUUAACAAGGUUCCCAUGCUUACCUUGAACUUUUCUGCAAACUGCAUUGUGUGUUGAUAUAAUCUUUGCAGCUACUGACUCUAUCUAGCUGGACAAAUUCCUGAACUUCAACCUCAUCUAACAAGUUCAGCCCGGGAAAAGAGUCAUACUUCACUGAAGAGUGUAGCUUCUGUCCAGAAUUGUCAUAACUGUUCAGUUUCUUGUUUUCUUUCCUUGUUGACCCUUUGCUUGAAUCAAUAGAAUGAUUGUUUUUAUCGUUCAUUCUUUCCAGGUCAAUAUAUUCUAUGCAGCUGUUGUUCUGAUCAGUUUGCAAAGAUGUCUGAACUUCAAAAUUACCUUGAGACUUCUGAUGGGAAAAAGGGUCAUACUUGCUUAUAGAUUGUACAUUCUGUCCAGAAUGAUCAGACUUGUUAAGUUCCUGAGUAUUCUGUUUUGUCACCUCUUUGCAUUGAUCCAUAGAAGAGACAUGGUCCACAUCGUUGUCAGAAUUUUCUAAGCCAUUAAACAUUUUCUUGCCAACCCAACCCUGAGAGCAAGUUUUGGCAGGAAAACCAAUUAGUUCAUCCACUGAGUUAUCCAUAUAAAGAAAAGAAAAGUCUAGUGAUACUAGAGAAAGAAAUGGUAAAAGAUGGGACCUUGACAUCUCUGAAAAAAGACUUUAAACCCUCUAGUGAUGCGUCAAAGCUAUCAUACUGUUUAAUGGAUUUCCUUAGCCACUUAGAAAUAUGAGCUCUAUUCCUUUCCUCUUGAAAGCGCUCAUCUGCUUGCCAAUAAAAUGUGGCAUUAUAAUCUCAUUGACAAGGGAUUUGAGCAUCUCUAUUAAAGAGAACAAAGUGGGAUUUACAAAUAUAUGAAAUGUGAAGAUUAAUACAAAUUUAAGGAAACAACUUGACCUGAGGUAGAUGCAAGGCACAACAUGAACAAAUAAUUCAAAACAGUUACCUAAUAAGAUGAUGGCUCCAUAGUCAAACCUAUGUCUUAUGCAGCGUCCUACAAAAGGAGUAAAAUGCAGUACAAACAAUAGAAUCAUCAAAUGAUGCCAAGGAAAAAUAAGAAGAAAAAAUUUGUCUGUUAUAUGUAAAAACCACCCAGCAAAACCCAGUGGCUGACUAUAAUAAUAAAAUCACCCCACAAGAUAAUAGACAAAGUGCAAUGCUUGACGCAUUGCUUAGCAUACCUAUAGCUUGAUUUAGAGCUCGAAAGGCUUGGUUGCAGUACCACUCAUUACCACUUAGAAGAUUUUUUGAUGAUCUAUAUGUAUCAUUAUAUUUCUUCUUCAAUGAAACUUGAAUAUCAUUUCUGGUAAGAAAUUCACAGGAAUCAGUCCCUGUGACUUGCAAAAUUACAUAAUGAUCUUGUUAGGAAAAAAAAAAAAAAGAACAGGUAAGUAUUCUCACAUGUUUGGAAAUGGUAUGCCAACAACUAUCUGAGAAAGUUAAGGACUUCCAAACUCAUGAGAAAAAAACAAUGGGAAUUCUNNNNNNNNNNNNNNNNNNNNNNNNNNNNNNNNNNNNNNNNNNNNNNNNNNNNNNNNNNNNNNNNNNNNNNNNNNNNNNNNNNNNNNNNNNNNNNNNNNNNNNNNNNNNNNNNNNNNNNNNNNNNNNNNNNNNNNNNNNNNNNNNNNNNNNNNNNNNNNNNNNNNNNNNNNNNNNNNNNNNNNNNNNNNNNNNNNNNNNNNNNNNNNNNNNNNNNNNNNNNNNNNNNNNNNNNNNNNNNNNNNNNNNNNNNNNNNNNNNNNNNNNNNNNNNNNNNNNNNNNNNNNNNNNNNNNNNNNNNNNNNNNNNNNNNNNNNNNNNNNNNNNNNNNNNNNNNNNNNNNNNNNNNNNNNNNNNNNNNNNNNNNNNNNNNNNNNNNNNNNNNNNNNNNNNNNNNNNNNNNNNNNNNNNNNNNNNNNNNNNNNNNNNNNNNNNNNNNNNNNNNNNNNNNNNNNNNNNNNNNNNNNNNNNNNNNNNNNNNNNNNNNNNNNNNNNNNNNNNNNNNNNNNNNNNNNNNNNNNNNNNNNNNNNNNNNNNNNNNNNNNNNNNNNNNNNNNNNNNNNNNNNNNNNNNNNNNNNNNNNNNNNNNNNNNNNNNNNNNNNNNNNNNNNNNNNNNNNNNNNNNNNNNNNNNNNNNNNNNNNNNNNNNNNNNNNNNNNNNNNNNNNNNNNNNNNNNAGUCCCAUGCCGUAUAUGCAAGUAAUGUGAGUCCAAGAUAUUUAUACAACAUUCUUCCAUUUUCCAAAGUGCCAAAGUGACAUCACAAUCCUAAUCCAAAAUUAUGCAAAUUAAAAAGCAGAACUCUUGGCCCAGAAAAUUUAAAGAGGAAAAAGGAUACAACCACUCGAGCAUUAUCAUCGCUGAAGUCAAUUCCUUCUGAAACCUGCAAACAAAUAUAGCAAUUUAGACAUUUAGUAAAAUACAAAAUGCAGAUUGAACAAAAAAUCAACACAUAAUGCAUCCGCAACCGUAUGAUAAUUGUCAUAUGACAUAAAACAUAAAUUUCACACCUUUCCACGGCAAACUGCAAGGAAACUGGCUCCUUUCUUAUUAGCAUUUUCCUGAGACUCAAUUGUGUUUAAGUCAUUAUUGCCUUCUCUCUUAACUCUUUUCUUUCUCACAACAGCACAUUUACUGCCUUGUGAAAUUGAGUUGUAAUAAUGCUUCAAAACAAUCUCAAAGUCUUCCUGGCUUCCCCCUUUUGGCUCUGCACCAACAACCAAGACAAUAAGCAUAAGACUCCAACUAAAUAGUAGCCAAGAUAAUUCCAGCAAGAACAACAAAGUAGAAUAAUUGCCAUGUAAAGAUAACUUCAAAAUCUAUGCAAAAAGGCUAAAAAUUGUGAAACAAGACAAGGAAAACAACAAAGUUAAUAUAGAAAUGAAGAAUGUUUUCUCAGAUAGCAUAAAAGAUGUGCUGACCCACAAAAAGAGGUUUCUUUGCAUUAAGUCGAGACCAUUGGCCUGUUUCACGCCAACGAUUGCACAGUUUCUCCAUCAACUUAUAACUAGGGAAGAAUACAAGAGAGCCACCAGGAACAACGUUGCAUAUUUCCUCUAUAGAUUUGCCAAGGGCAUCCUUCAAAACAAUAUAUGUACAACCAAUAAUUUAUUGAACUAUAAAAGAGGAGACCACUCUCAGACAAUCAAAAUCAAUGUGACAAAAAGCAGAAGAUACCUGAAAAGCAUACCCAUCUGCAGUUUUAUAACUUGCAUUCAAUGGAUAAUUAUCUGGACCAGUGGAGAUUACAGAAGUCAACACCUGCAAAACAGUUGAUGGUCCAUAACUGCAAUAGUAGUAUAACAAACCAAAACCAAUUAGCAGAGAGAUGGAGGAAAAUGGCAUUCAUACCUGCAAAUCAACAUCGAUGACAUGCGGAGCCUCCAGACAAGUUCCGAAUUGAACUCCAAGCUCAGAAGAGAAGGAAUUCAUUGGUGAUAAGGUCCUAUUUUCAGAGAGAUGAGUACUAGCGUAAAGGAAAGACGCUACUUUGGGUCAUGCAAUUAAAGCAAAGAGAUAGUUUGUAAAAAAGGGCAAAUGCACAGCUUUUACUCAAUCAUAUGGUAUGAGACUGACCAGACAUGAAAAUAAUAUCUUGUAGUCCAACAUUCAAUACUAAGCAGCAGACCAUGGCCAAUUUUAGAAAGAGUAUAUCAGUCCUUAUGGAUAUAGUGGGGAGGUAUAGUGACCUCCACUUAGUUGCUCAACACAUACUCAUGCAUUGAAGGUAGUAAACAAAAGUACAAGAUGUUUCCACAAUAUGCAUACAUGCCUUGUGACUGAGGAAUCAAGCAGUUUAAAAUGAGCUUAGCAAUCCAGAUAUGGCAAUGUCAUAGCUUACCCCGAUGUUAAAAUAAUAGACAAAGAAAGCUCAGCAACAUCCUUGAAAACAACAGCUGGAUUCAAGCACCACAAACUUAAAGUAUGUGUCCAGUUUCCACCAGGGUUUUCUGCAUGGAGUAUUAUUCAUUAACAAUGCUGGCCAUCAGUUUUCUCUAAACAAGAAAGCCCAUGUUAAAAUGGACCAACAAUAACAUAUCCUACAACAAAAACAGUUGAACACUUGAUGGCAAGUAAUAAUAACAUAUUGAGAAGGAACAGAUAAUAACAGAGAUCAAGAUUAUGGAGUUCACCUAAUACAAUUCAAAUGUAGAGUCAAUUCCAUAAAUGGCUUAAUGCAGAAGUUCAAUAUAGACAUUUUUUCUCUAAAAAUUCCAAAAACUAACGUAUAUUAAGUUGGUGGAUACAGUUUCUUAGAGAAACAGUAUCAAGAUCCCCUGAUACAUGAAUUUUCCAAUCAUCUUAUUAAGGAAUCUUACAUAGCUAGGGUUUUGGUUUGAUAAUGACUGGUGCAUAAACCUGUUAGGCUUUCCAUCUGCUACCAUAAGCCCUUAGACUGAUUUUCAAUCACACUUGGCCAAAUAAUAUAUUACCUAUAAGAGUUUGGUCAGCAAUGUCUAUAUAAUUAUUUCACAAAUUCAAACCAUAGAUUCAUAAUCUAUUGACUUUCAUUGAUGACAAAAUUAAAAUGACCCUUAAAAGAAUUAAUCAAAUCAUCAAGUAUUGACCACUUAC